rfam:Candidatus Kaiserbacteria bacterium RIFCSPHIGHO2_01_FTLL_54_36b rifcsphigho2_01_scaffold_46069, whole genome shotgun sequence.
GCCGACAUAGCUCAGUUGGCAGAGCGUCACCAUGGUAAGGUGAAGGUCCCCGGUUCGAACCCGGGUGUCGGCU